rnacentral:lncRNA from 1 species
GUCCUCUCAAAGUCCUUUAUUGUACAAUGUCAUCUGUUUCGGGGUCGGGGAAGGACUAACAGGUACACAGCGAAAUAGAUAAAUAUGCCAAGCUCUUUCUUUUCUUUUUAAAUCAGGCAUUUAUAAACAAGAAAGCAUACAUUAAUUACAUAAAAAUAGUUUCCGAGUAGCAGAGUAAGCAUCAUACUGUCGUUAGCAGCAGCGUGGGGCACGGGCAGGGGCGGGGUCUGGGUGAUGUUAAAGGUAGAGAUGGAGCUUUUUCCUUAAUUGAAAAAAAAAAAAGUCAUUUGUGACUCCUGACUUAAAGCGAGAACGAACAUCUCCCUGGACCCUGGUGGGCUGAGGGAGGGGUGGGGGGGGCCAGGGCUCGGACCCACAGGGAGGAGGGAUGGGGGGCCGGGGCUCGGACCCACAGGGAGGAGGGGGGGGGGGGGGCCGGGGCUCGGACCCACAGGGAGGAGGGAUGGGGGGCCGGGGCUCGGACCCACAGGGAGGAGGGAUGGGGGGCCAGGGCUCGGACCCACAGGGAGGAGGGGGUCACAUGGGAAACGCACACGGGUUUCUCCGUCUCCCCUGCCCCCCGGCAGGAAAGCAUUUUUUUUUUUUUCCUCAGUUAAAAACAGCCCAGAAAACAAGACAACUCUCAGGUAAGAAAAGAGUUUCUGAAAAAGGACCCAGCAUAUACAUGUAUAAUACAACGGUGAAAAAGGAAAAGGUAUUUACAGGUGAACUGUUUUUACAUUGGCUAGUUCUGUACGAAAAGCAGACAUUAUGUGUAUGAGUUAGCUGCUCCAGAGAUAUGAAUGUUAUUGCUGUUGUUUUUCCCUUCGUUAAAAAUCUUCUUUCAGUAUAGAAAUAUAAUGAGAAUUAAACUGAAUACACAAUCACUUAGAUGAAGGGCCUCACACACAGAGGAUUCACCAGCCCACACAGCGGACACCUCUUCCCCCUUCUGCUGAAAAAAAACGGACUCACACCUGUGCAAAGGGGACCCAGGCUUGCCCCCCUCGGGGCCUGGGACCCCUCAGUCCAGAUCAGCCCUGCAGCCACAGCUGCCCCCUCAGGCCCCUGACUGUGGAAAUGACCCUGGUGAACCGAGGCAAAAACUGUGGGAACUGCCUGGGAGGGUCCCGAACUCGCCUGCCCACGUCCGGGUCCCACUGACCGCACGGGCCUGGCAGCUGCAGGAAAGGGUGGGCCCAGGUGACACUGGCUGGACCCUCCCAGAGCCGAAGUGGGGAAGGGCUGCCACUGCAGAUACAGCGCUUUCCGUUUGGGGCAAGAUGGGGCGGUGGAGGCGUGGACCCAACGGUGACCGUCGGGAUGGAGCAAGGGCAAGGAGAGGCUCUGGCCCAGACACAGCUUGGAAAAGCUCAUCUCCCUCUGGGGUCUAAAAACUCAAAGCAAACGGAGCAAGCCUGGCGGCCCUGGGGAUGGGGCAGGGCCUCUACCUCACUGUGAUUUUCGACCUGGCGACACAGGACAGCCACACAGAAGCACGCCAACACACUUAAAGCUUUGCUCCAACUAAAUCAUUUAGUUUCCCUUGAAGAAAUAACUGAAAAAAAAAAAAAAACUCUGGUAAAACAAGGCUAAAAACAGCAUUCUGCGUGUUGCAUAACAAAACCGACCCUUUACAAGACACGGUAAUAAUGCCCGCUGACGGAUCUACCUACGGCAGAGGUGUGGAAUCCAUGCACACAGAACCGCAAAGAAAACAAAAGCAAAGAAAAUUCCAAACAAACGCUGCAUAUACAUGAUGUCCCUUUUGCAUUGCACUUUAGAAGGGGUGGGGGGCUUCAGCAGCAACCAAGACCCCCCUCAGUAAACCAAGGGCAAAACCCCGCAGGCAAUUCCGCCACCCAGAUGCGAGGGCUCAGCAGUCUCUGGUCUUUGCUCGUCACUGCCCCGAGGUCGUCUGUACCUGGGCAAGUAACCUCCACCUUCUGUGAGCGCGUGCAGCUGCCGCGGGUGUUAGAACGGAUUCAAGCAAAGAACUCCUGUAAGAUCUUCUUAUGUAAAUAAAUACCGUAACUGUAGGAUAGGUAGCCGCCUCUUGUCUACUGGGAAAUCAUUUUUCAAGCUUGGGCAUAAGAAACCUUAUACAAUUUGCAUAAACAGGUGAGAGUAAACGAGAUUAUUUGGAAUAAAUGCAAGGAACUUAUUCUGAGAGUGGCAGAUUCAGUCGCUACUGAAGACAUAUCUUGGGGGUAAAAAGACACGAGUCAGGAUUUGCUGUACAAGAUGCUGGAAGGCACAGAACGACCCCCGAAGUUCAGUUUUUGCAUUUUCGUUUUCUUGUGAUUCCCUUGUUCAACCAAGCACCAGAGGGGGUUUCUAAGCACUCGAGCACUUCGGAUUUGACUGCUCUAUAAAUCGGUAAAAACCUCAGUUCACUGGGGAAUAGAAAGAGAAGGGAAGGUUGUGGACAAAGUGCAGUUCUAAAUAUACGUUUAAAUGAACGAACAAAAAAAAAAAAAAGAAAGAAAAAUUGAAAUAAUGCUGUUUUGUUCCAAUGCUGCAGCCUCAGUCCCAAAAUGAAGGGAGCGACGUUUGCCGAACUGAAAAGGGUCGCCCGGUCAGGCGGCACGUGUGCCCGGAGGGGCUGAGGGCGUGACCGCCAGCCACGGUCACCACCCGACGCAGGUCAGUGCCUCGUGGUGGAGGAGCGUGGGCAGAAUCACGGGGUGCAGAGGAGCCGAAGCCCGUCCCCUCAGCUCUGGGGCAGCUCCUGUGCGGCUCUGCACUUCCUGGUACCCGUGGGGACGGCGCUGGCAUCGACGGCGGCGUGGCGGGCGGGGUGGGCGGCAGUAAGGCGGGCAGUGUUCGAGCUCAUCUCGCACGCGGCACUGUCCCUGCUCUCCCUGGCAGCAGCAGGAAGACCUGGGUCCUUGUCGCUGAAAAAAUAGACUCUGAAGAAAAACCCCUGCUGUCCUCACGCAGCCGCGGGCAGAUGAGCUGUGAUGGCUUCCCCGGGUGGGGAGGGUGGGGCGGCCGCCACCCCCACUCCGUUGCGGGUCUUCAGAUGGCGUCGUGUGUUGGGGCUUUUAAAAGUGAGUCAUUUAAAAAUGUGUUGAUUUUCUGAAUUUCAAGUCUCCUUACUGGUUUUAAAUAGCUUAUAACAAAAGUGUAAAUGUUAGAAUGUUCCAGCAAGCAGAGGACCAGCAGGCCGCCGAGCUGGCCCCGUCUCCAGCUGUAGUUGGGGGACACGGCUUGCUCACUUGAACUUGGCCAGUAGAAAAUUUUGCAGUGGAUUCCAAAACUACAUGGUUACAAACACUCGCUUGGUAAUAGGCCCAGUAAGACGUUGU